rnacentral:rRNA from 1 species
UACGAAGGGUGCAAACGUUGCUCGGAAUCAUUGGGCGUAAAGCGCACGUAGGCGGCUUGCCAAGUCGGACGUGAAAUCCCUCAGCUCAACUGAGGACGUGCAUCCGAAACUGGCGAGCUUGAGUACUGAAGAGGAUCGCGGAAUUCCCGGUGUAGAGGUGAAAUUCGUAGAUAUCGGGAGGAACACCAGUGGCGAAGGCGGCGAUCUGGGCAGAUACUGACGCUGAGGUGCGAAAGCGUGGGGGAGCAAACAGG